UCCUUCAGCAUUACUACCACAAAACCAUUGAGGCCAAAUACUAGCUUGCCACCUCACACUUCUUCAAGUAUUAGUAAUAUACUGACUUCUACUGUGGCUAAAGUCACAGGUAUGGCUGCUAUGAAAACCACAACUACUCCAGCUAAAGGGACAACAACAAUAUCCAAAAGAGACACUACUACUGUAGCUAUGGAAGCAACUUCAACAGCCGACAGAGACACAACCAAUGCAAACAGCCAGGCUGUAACAAGAAUGGAAAAAAGUGAAGCAACAAAUGAAAUUGAUAAAAGCGAUAUCACAGCUGCAAAUAAAGAGACUACAAUAAUAGACACUAAAGACACAAAUAGUAAUUUAGGCACUGCAAGUCCAAUACAGGCAGCAGAUAUUACAACUACAGGGACUCUAAUAACUGAUAAAUCCGAUGCAACUGCAGAUUCCAAAGAAGCAACCACUGCAGAUAAGGAAACAACAUCUGUGGAAAGAAGAGAAUCAACAGCCAUUAAUCAGGAGCCAGGUAUGGAUGAUAAAAAAGACAGUAGUACUGUUGAUGCCAAAGUCAUCACUUCAGCUGAUAGAGAAAAGGCAACUACACCUCUCACAGAUACAACUACAAGUAUUGAGAAAGAGAUUAAAGAGUCAACCGCAGAGCAUAAUCAAGAGACAGAAAACUCUAAAGAGAGAUCUGUUACCAGAAUCAAAGAAAAAAUGACAGUUGGUGAAAUGGAAACUUCAGAAAAUCAAAAAGAUUCUAGUGCAACUGCUGUUAAUGAGGGGAUGCCAACUGAAUUGCUGCCAACUGUAGCCGAUAGCUCAAAAAAAGAGACCAUGACUCCAUCAAGCCCAAAUUCUAGAGAUACUACAAACACAAUAGAAUCAGCAAUUACAUCUCGGACCAUCAGAGAAAUUGAUCAAAGUCAGGAACCAACGAACAAGCCAGAGCAACUUGUAACUCUAGAUAAUUCAGAUCUCAUUCCUGAUGUUCUGCUAAGAGGUACACCUCAGCCUGAGGUUGAUUUUGGAAGUGUGAGACCAGAACAGAGUAGUACAGUGACAGAGACAAUAAUAGAGACUGAUCCAACAAGAGACACAGCCAAUCCUGAUGGUGAUGAUAAAAAUUACAAACCAGAAAGUAGUACUACAGUCAGAGCAUCAACAAUGACACAGACUGAGCCAACAAGCAACACAGACAGGCUUGAUGGCAGUUAUACAAAUGACAAGCCAGGAAGUAGCACAACAGUCACAGAGACAAGAGUAACACAGACUGAUCCAACAAAUGAUUCACGCAGACUUGGCAGUGAUAGUAACACACCAGAAGGGACAACUUCUAUACACAGAGUAUAACACAGUCAGAUCCAACAAGUAGCACAUCAAGCCCUGACAGUGAUGUUAAAAAUGACAUACCAAAGGCAACUACUACAAUCGCAGAGACAAUAAUACAGACUGAUCUCUCAAGUGACAUACCUACUCCUGAUGGUGAUGAUAAAAAUAAAAAACCAGGAAGCAGCACUACAGCAGUACUCACAGAGACAACAACAACACAGACUGAUGGAGAUGAUAAAAGUGACAAGCCAGAAGGAACUACUAUAGUUGCAAAGACAAAAAUACAGACUGAUCUCCCAAGUGACACAUUUACUCCUGAUGAUGCUGAUAAAAACCAAAAGCCAGAAAGCAGUACCAUAGUCAUGGGGACAACACCAACUGAUCUAGGUGACACAUCCAAUCCUGAGGACACUAACAAAAGUGACAAACCAGAAGGGACUACUAGAGUCACAGAAACAACACAGACUGAUCCAGGUGACACAACCAAUCCUGAUGGUGGUAAUAAAAGUGACAAAUCAGAAAGGACUACUACAGUCACAGAGACAAUCAUAACAGAGACUGAUCCAGAAAAUGGCACACCUAGCCCUGUUGGUGAUGAUAAAAGCGACAGGCCAGAAGGGACUACCACAGUCACAGAGAGAAGCAUAACAGAGACUGAUCCAGCAAAUGACACACCUAGCCCUGUUGGUGACGAUAAAAGUGUCAGGCCAGAAGGGACUACCACAGUCACAGAGACAAUCAUAACAGAGACCUGCCCUGAAAGUGAUUACAAAAAUGACAGACCUGCAGAGACCACAACAGUCAGAGAGACAGUAAUAACAGAAACAAUAAUAACAGACACUGAUCUAAGAAGUGGUACACCCAAACCUGAAAGUAAUGAUAAAAAUGACAGACCUGAAGGGACCACAACAGUUACAGAGACGAUAACCAUACAGACCGAUCCAGCAAAUGGCACACACAACCCUGUUGGUGAUGAUAAAAAUGACAAACCAGAAACAACCACUACAGUCAGAGAAACCAUUACAACAGGAACUGAUCCUUCUUCAAGCGAUCCAGAGAUACAAAAAAUAGCAUCAUCACCCUCUAAGCCACCAAAUGAUGAGCCUAGUCCGAAUGGCAACAGGAAUGGUGACAGGCCAGAUGAUACUACAGAAAUAAUGGAGACAACAACAAUAAUCACAGAAACUAAUACACCAAAUCCCAAUCAAAACGAUUCCCCUAAUCCUGAUGAAAGUGACAGACCAGACAGCGUCACUACAGUCACAAAAACAACCACAACCACAACAGAAUCAAACCCAAAGGACGGUGAUAAAAAUGGCAAGACAGAAGUUAUCACUAAAGUUACAUGGAUAACUACUACUACUACUACCACCACCACCACCCAGUAAAAUACAACUGAACAACCAGAAACAAACACACGUGAUGUUACAACUAAUACAAAAAUUGACCUUGUUUCAGAUGAACCCACCACAGAAAAUCCAACUAACAAGAAUACAAAUACUACAGUAACACAGGUGACGACAACUUCCUCGGUGACAUCCAAACCUCUGAGCACCCCAACUUCUACAGUUGAUAAGACUACACAGUAUACCUCCACUUUGCCCGCCACACUUACAACUACAAAAAGAAGAGUGAUCUAUUACCCAACUACAAUAUAUUCCACAACAAGAUCUCCUGAGAGAACUCCUAAUAUAACCAGAGAGUAUGUUCAACCAGACAAGAUUGCCACACCCUUAUUGUACAAAGCAAGUCCCAGGAGCACUGGUAGGCAAUAUUCCGUGCUGCCGGAUACUAACUGAGGUGGCAAAAUGGAUUCUGGAGUGCAGCAAAGUUGCGCUAAAAAAUCAUCAAAGUCAUCAUCCAAAGCUGUAAGAGUGAUUUCGGAGGAGGAUGGCAGUAGGGUAGACAAUGUAGUGACAACAGUAGCUACCACAACUACCACAACUUCUACUACAAGUCAACCUUCUAGUACAACAAGGCAGCCUUCUACUACAACCACAACAAAGCAGGCUUCUACUACAGUUACAACGAAACAGCCUUCUACUACAACCACAGUGAAGAAACCUUCCACCACAACAAGGCAGUCUUCUACUAUGACCACCAUAAAGCAAACUCCUACUACAACCAAAGCUGUGGCAACUCCUAGUAUGACUGCAAUGCAGCUGCCUUCUACUGCUGUUACAAUGUCAGCUUCUACUAUGACCACAACAAGGCUGCCUUCAACUAUGACCACAACAAGAGAGCCUUCUACAACUGCAAAUCAACCUGACACGGAGCGUACAACCAAAGGAAAUAAAAGUAUUGAAUCAACUUCUUUGAAGACCAUAUUAUCCAAACCCCUUCUCCCCAAUCCAAAAAAGUAACCACAUCCUUCAGCAUUACUACCACAAAACCAUUGAGGCCAAAUACUAGCUUCCAACCUCACACUUCUUCAAGUAUUAGUAAUAUACUGACUUCUACUGUGGCUAAAGUCACAGGUACGGCUGCUAUGAAAACCACAACUACUCCAGCUAAAGGGACAACGACAAUAUCCAAAAGAGACACUACUACUGUAGCUAUGGAAGCAACUUCAACAGCCGACAGAGACACAACCAAUGCAAACAGCCAGGCUGUAACAAGAAUGGAAAAAAGUGAAGCAACAAAUGAAAUUGAUAAAAGUGAUAUCACAGCUGCAAAUAAAGAGACUACAAUAAUAGACACUAAAGACACAAAUAGUAAUUUAGGCACUGCAAGUCCAAUACAGACAGCAGAUAUUACAACCACAGGGACUCUAAUAACUGAUAAAUCCGAUGCAACUGCAGAUUCCAAAGAAGCAACCACUGCAGAUAAGGAAACAACAUCUGUGGAAAGAAGAGAAUCAACAGCCAUUAAUCAGGAGCCAGGUAUGGAUGAUAAAAAAGACAGUAGUACUGUUGAUGCCACAGUUAUCACUUCAGCUGAUAGAGAAAAGGCAACUACACCUCUCACAGAUACAACUACAAGUAUUGAGAAAGAGAUUAAAGAGUCAACCGCAGAGCAUAAUCAAGAGACAGAAAACUCUAAAGAGAGAUCUGUUACCAGAAUCAAAGAAAAAAUGACAGUUGGUGAAAUGGAAACUUCAGAAAAUCAAAAAGAUUCUAGUGCAACUGCUGUUACUGAGGGGAUGCCAACUGAAUUGCUGCCAACCGUAGCCGAUAGCUCAAAAAAAGAGACCAUGACUCCAUCAAGCCCAAAUUCUAGAGAUACUACAAACACAAUAGAAUCAGCAAUUACAUCUCGGACCAUCAGAGAAAUUGAUCAAAGUCAGGAACCAACGAACAAGCCAGAGCAACUUGUAACUCUAGAUAAUUCAGAUCUCAUUCCUGAUGUUCUGCUAAGAGGUACACCUCAGCCUGAGGUUGAUUUCGGAAGUGUGAGUCCAGAACAGAGUAGUACAGUGACAAUAAUAGAGACUGAUCCAACAAGAGACACAGCCAAUCCUGAUGGUGAUGAUAAAAAUUACAAACCAGAAAGUAGUACUACAGUCAGAGCAUCAACAAUGACACAGACUGAGCCAACAAGCAACACAGACAGGCUUGAUGGCAGUUAUACAAAUGACAAGCCAGGAAGUAGCACAACAGUCACAGAGACAAGAGUAACACAGACUGAUCCAACAAAUGAUUCACGCAGACUUGGCAGUGAUAGUAACACACCAGAAGGGACAACUUCUAUACACAGAGUAUAACACAGUCAGAUCCAACAAGUAGCACAUCAAGCCCUGACAGUGAUGUUAAAAAUGACAUACCAAAAGCAACUACUACAAUCGUAGAGACAAUAAUACAGACUGAUCUCUCAAGUGACAUACCUACUCCUGAUGGUGAUGAUAAAAAUAAAAAACCAGGAAGCAGCACUACAGCAGUACUCACAGAGACAACAACAACACAGACUGAUGGAGAUGAUAAAAGUGACAAGCCAGAAGGAACUACUAUAGUUGCAAAGACAAAAAUACAGACUGAUCUCCCAAGUGACACAUUUACUCCUGAUGAUGCUGAUAAAAACCAAAAGCCAGAAAGCAGUACCAUAGUCAUGGGGACAACACCAACUGAUCUAGGUGACACAUCCAAUCCUGAGGACACUAACAAAAGUGACAAACCAGAAGGGACUACUAGAGUCACAGAAACAACACAGACUGAUCCAGGUGACACAACCAAUCCUGAUGGUGGUAAUAAAAGUGACAAAUCAGAAAGGACUACUAUAGUCACAGAGACAAUCAUAACAGAGACUGAUCCAGAAAAUGGCACACCUAGCCCUGUUGGUGAUGAUAAAAGCGACAGGCCAGAAGGGACUACCACAGUCACAGAGAGAAGCAUAACAGAGACUGAUCCAGCAAAUGACACACCUAGCCCUGUUGGUGACGAUAAAAGUGUCAGGCCAGAAGGGACUACCACAGUCACAGAGACAAUCAUAACAGAGACCUGCCCUGAAAGUGAUUACAAAAAUGACAGACCUGCAGAGACCACAACAGUCAGAGAGACAGUAAUAACAGAAACAAUAAUAACAGACACUGAUCUAAGAAGUGGUACACCCAAACCUGAAAGUAAUGAUAAAAAUGACAGACCUGAAGGGACCACAACAGUUACAGAGACGAUAACCAU